rnacentral:rRNA from 1 species
UACGAAGGGUGCAAGCGUUGUCCGGAAUCAUUGGGCGUAAAGCGCGCGCAGGCGGAUCAGCAAGUCAGAUGUGAAAUCUCGGGGCUCAACCUCGAAACUGCGUCUGAAACUGCUAGUCUAGAAUGUCGGAGGGGGUAGGGGAAUUUCACGUGUAGGGGUAAAAUCCGUAGAGAUGUGAAGGAACACCGGAGGCGAAGGCGCCUACCUGGACGACUAUUGACGCUGAGGCGCGAAAGCGUGGGGAGCAAACAGG